CAAAUCAGGUAGGACUACCCGCUGAACUUAAGCAUAUCAAUAAGCGGAGGAAAAGAAACUAACAAGGAUUCCCCUAGUAACUGCGAGUGAAGCGGGAAAAGCUCAAAUUUAAAAUCUGGCGGUCUUCGGCCGUCCGAGUUGUAAUCUGGAGAAGCGUUUUCCGCGCCGGACCGUGUACAAGUCUCUUGGAACAGAGCGUCAUAGAGGGUGAGAAUCCCGUCUUUGACACGGACUACCAGUGCUAUGUGAUGCGCUCUCGAUGAGUCGAGUUGUUUGGGAAUGCAGCUCAAAAUGGGUGGUAAAUUCCAUCUAAAGCUAAAUAUUGGCGAGAGACCGAUAGCGAACAAGUACCGUGAGGGAAAGAUGAAAAGCACUUUGGAAAGAGAGUUAAACAGUACGUGAAAUUGCUGAAAGGGAAACGAUUGAAGUCAGUCGCGUGUGCUAGAACUCAGCCUUGCUUUUGCUUGGUGCAUUUUCUAGUGUACGGGCCAGCAUCAGUUUUGGCCGCCGGAAAAAGGCCUUGGGAAUGUGGCACCUUCGGGUGUGUUAUAGCCCUUGGUUGUAUACGGUGGCUGGGACUGAGGAACAUAGCAUGCCUUUACGGCGGGGCUUCGGCCACCUUCAUGCUUUGGAUGCUGGCGUAAUGGCUUUAAACGACCCGUCUUGAAACACGGACCAAGGAGUCUAACAUGCCUGCGAGUGUUUGGGUGGAAAACCCGAGCGCGUAAUGAAAGUGAAAGUUGGGACUUCUGUCGUGGAAGGCACCGACGCCCGGACCAGACCUUCUGUGACGGAUCCGCGGUAGAGCAUGUAUGUUGGGACCCGAAAGAUGGUGAACUAUGCCUGAAUAGGGUGAAGCCAGAGGAAACUCUGGUGGAGGGUCGUAGCGAUUCUGACGUGCAAAUCGAUCGUCAAAUUUGGGUAUAGGGGCGAAAGACUAAUCGAACCAUCUAGUAGCUGGUUCCUGCCGAAGUU
rnacentral:rRNA from 1 species